rnacentral:pre_miRNA from 1 species
GAGACACCCCUCCGGGGGCAAGACUUGCUUCAGUGGGGCUUUGGUGCUCACUGAGUCUGCCCCCUGAGUGUGUCCUU